UACAGAGGGGGCAAGCGUUGUUCGGAAUUACUGGGCGUAAAGGGCGCGUAGGCGGCCUGUUAAGUCGAACGUGAAAUCCCUGGGCUUAACCCAGGAACUGCGUCCGAUACUGGAAGGCUUGAAUCCGGGAGAGGGAUGCGGAAUUCCAGGUGUAGCGGUGAAAUGCGUAGAUAUCUGGAGGAACACCGGUGGCGAAGGCGGCAUCCUGGACCGGUAUUGACGCUGAGGCGCGAAAGCCAGGGGAGCAAACGGG
rnacentral:rRNA from 1 species